rnacentral:lncRNA from 1 species
AUCCAUGUUUUUCUUUUUUCCUAAAUGUCCUGUGAUUGUAAAGUGCUUCCUUUUCUUUUCUCUGUUUUCAACGAGUCAACUGAUCUUUUUAGCAGGAAUCCGGAUGGAGAACUGUUAACUGUACAUGUGUUUAUGUUAAAAGAGUUGUUUGAUGUGUUAGAUUCAAUUAUAGGUUCUGCAGUAUAUAUUUGGAUGUCAUCAGAGUACCUGAUUCCGAUGGAACUAGUCAAGGUGGACUAUUUGAUUCAUCAUUAACUGAUCGAAUAGUUGUACUGUCAGAGUGACAGCUUUACUAAAUUGCAG